GGCCGCCUGGCGAAAUGGUAUCGCGUCUGACUACGAUUUCGUUAUCAGGAGAUUGCAGGUUCGAGCCCUGCGGUGGUCA
rfam:Botryobasidium botryosum FD-172 SS1 unplaced genomic scaffold BOTBOscaffold_25, whole genome shotgun sequence.